CACUUUUUACAUCAGUUGCGUGUUUGUUUGGAGAUAAUACUUUCGGUGGAUCCCUGUUUGUAGAUAGUUACCUCUUGUUUUAGUUGGUCAUUCUAUGUCUGCAACAAACAGUUCCUCUUGAGACAAGCUUCAAGCUCCUUGUUAACAAGCCUGAGUUGUAGGUCUUCAUCAUUUGGUUCCAUUUUUUGUGAGUAGGAGGAGUUAGAAUUGAAAUUCUUAAUUCUUGGAUCUCCUCCUGCUGUAAGUAUUUUUAUCACGUUAAUUUACAUUCCUAGGAAUACUUGUGUAAGGACCCUCAAGCUCGUCAACGCUAUUAUACUAGUCAAGAAAUGUCUUAACCGCUAAUGACUCGAUUAGUUAACACGAACGUUAAUUAAUAUAAAUUAAUCUAACAACGAUCUAGCUACGAAACUAGCACCGCUGAAUAGGUCUCGGGAAUUUGUGCAGAAUGGACUACUCGAUCAUGCUAUUUGGACAUCGGACGAAGAAGAUAUCAUCAAAUUAUUAUGAAUGGUAGAAUCGUCAUUUUGAUCUUAACCUCCUGGCUGCCCUUAUCCGUUUCUCGAGUGCCCUUAGCAAUUCUAGUCAACCUUAUCCCUAGUCGAGUAGAUGAACUCGAUCCCUUCUUUCUCUUUCAUUCUUAUUUCUUCUUCUUCUUUCUUCUCUUUCGUUUUUUGUUCUUUGUUCUUCCUCUCUUUUCUCUGCGAUUUCUUAUUUCACCCAAAAUCAAUAGAUGAAACAGGAUCUUGAAGUUAACAAUUGUAUCAGUGAAGAUGAAACUAAUAGUACUGUGGUUGUUUGAACCCGGGAAGAAGAAGAUUGAGUUGUUGUUGUAAUUGAAAUUGGGGUUUUAAGAAUGAAUUCAUGUUCUUAGGUGAAUUGAGUUGCUAGUAGAUGAAGGGAGAUCGUGGUAUUGUUUAAUUGAUUCUCUGAAGUUGAUUCGAUAAAGAUUGAAGAUAAUUAGGGUUUCUGCAAUUUAGUGAAGUUGUGAUUUGAGAUGUUUAAGAAGAAAUUAAUGGAUGGGUAUUGAAGAACAGGAGGUGAAGAAGAAGUUUAUGACGUUAAUUUGAAGAUUCAGUUACUUGAUCCAAGCUACUUUAAGGGUUAAGGAUGAAGAGUAAUUUGAUUAAGAUGAAUGGAUGGAGAAGAGAUAGGUCCGGUGGUGGUUGAUCUAUUUAGAGUUACAGCAGUUCACCAAAAGUUGGCUAAUUUCUGGGUAAGUCUUUAUAUUGUUUAAUUUGAGUAUUUGAAGUUGAGUUAGGUGUAUUGUAGAGUUUAUGUGACUGAAUGAAAUCGAGGGUGAGAUGAGUACUCAAUGGAACUGUGAUUGUGGAUAUGAAGAUUGUGCUGAAAUGAUUAAGCUGAAUUGUUGUUGAUAUGAGAUGCAUGUAUAGUGAGUGAGUUGGUGGUGUUAUGUUGAGUUGAAUGUGCAUAGUUUCUUGAGAUUGAGAGUUUUAGAGUGGCAGUUCAGUUGUGUUGGUGGUUUGAGAUGAUGAUUGUAUGUGUAUUGAGAUAAGAGUAUGUUAUGAAUGAGCUUGUGUUGCUGGUAAGCCAAUAGUGUAGGAGAAGGCUGUGGUUUGGGUUUGAUCUGUAAUUGAGAAGAAUUGAAGUAACAUACUUGGAUGAAGAAUUGAAAUGAGAUUAAGUCAGGGUGUGUGCAAUUGGGACUGGAGGUGUAGUUGUAGCUUAGGUAUAUCUGGAAUGGCAGGGAACUAGUGCGAUUUGCAUAUAUGGAUGAGUUAGUUGCAGGUACAUACUGUGGUGUUGAUGAAAGAUACAUGUAUGAUUUGGAGAUAGAGAUUAUUGGUGUUGGAAUUGAGAAGUUAAGGUUUGAAGUUAAUCUACAGAGAGUGUUGUUGGCGGAUCAGAUUAUGGCUGAGAUGAGGAUGUGUAUGAAUCUGAGGUUGUUAUAUGUAGUGGUGGUGGUGACGUUUAACUAGUUAUUAUGGAUUGAGUGGCAGGCCAGAAGUUGGCAGUGUCAUAGUUGUUGGAAUUUGAUUAUGUUGAUAAGAUUUAUGAGCUGAAGUUGAUAGUAGUGAUGUUUUGGCAAUGGCCUUAGUGAAAGCCUGCAGAUUAAGUUUCAGAGACAGAUCAGAGUUGCGCAGCGAAAGCUUCGAGGAGUUGACUCCGUUAAUUAGUUAAUUUCUGCUAUGUUUAUUAUGUUGUUUAUUCUAUUUACAAACAAAAUGACUAUUGUAUAUAUAUCAUUUGAGAGAAGUUCUUGUAUAUAUAUUUCUGACCGGGUUAGUUUUGGUUAAGUUUUAUAGCAGAUUAAUUGAUUGUUUAAUUAAAUUUAGAUUCUCAGUGCCUUUUUGUUUAGUUAAUCUCUUGGAUAAGUCAGCUGCUAGCUUUGGGGGCGCUACAACUUUUAUAUGAAUCUGGUGUUUUAUAAAUGCCCCUGGUCUCACUAGUGUAUGUAUGUAGUAGUAGUGUUAAAUACAAUGUUCUAUACUCUGGUAUUUGCGUC